GAGGGGCAAAAUUGUCCGAAAUAAUCACGGGAACACACCCAUAGAAAAUAGCCUCCACUACCCUUGGACUAUUGACCUCAUACCCUUUAGCACAUAUACAAAACUUGCUAGUUUUCAUGUAUUCGAUAUAGUUUUUAUUGUUUUUGGAUUUUGGGAGUUUUUUGAAGAUUUUAAUUUCAGGAUCUUUGUUUUCCCAGUGGUGUAGGAGAAUCGGGCGGAGGUCUCCGUGCAUUCGGCCGGCGAAAAAGGCGAGGGUUGACCGUUUUGAAGGGGGUUGACCACCGAAUUGUUUCAAUGGAUUUUUUGAUGAUUGAAUCGUUGUUUCAGGUAAUGCAACGUCUUUUCCUAAUUCGAAUCCUUCGUUUUUGACAUCGGAAUUGCACAUUGCGCGAAUGCAAUUGUUCAUGUAUUUCUUUGUUUCAGAUGGGGCCUUAAAUAUCAUAAAAAUGUAAGCGAUUGUGUUAAAAGGGCAUUAUGAUAUCAAGGAAAGAGGAAUGGAAUGAGAAUUUCAUAGCUUAUGCUUACCCAAUCGUGACAUGCAACAAGGAAAUGAUCAGAUCCAGAAGUUCUAUUCCAGAAACUGUAUCUUCCAGAAAUUAAAUCAAGGUAUUUCUUCAAAUACUGAAUUAAGUUUUUGUGAGUAUGAGAAUCAACAACGUAUAAUUUUUCUUCCAACAUUCUUGAGCUAAAAGGUAAGUAGAAAAGAUGAGCUUCUUUUGGUUUUUUAGUGACGAAAUGUUUGCUUGCUUUCAUGUGUUUCAUAAACCAUCCUUCAGAUGCGUAUAUUCCUUUUAGCACUGCUUGUGGUUGAUGAAAUAUAGGCUUUUCUCCCUCCUUGUAUAUGUAUACCUUGAGUGUUUUUUCCAUUAAUUCAUAGCUCCUGAAUUUAAUAUUAAUAAUAAUAAUAAUAUGAUAAUUGUAAUAAUGCAUGUGCACUUGUUUUUUAUUCAAUGGAUGAAGUGUUAUAUGGGUAAUGAACUAAUGAUGUCUNNNNNNNNNNNNNNNNNNNNNNNNNNNNNNNNNNNNNNNNNNNNNNNNNNNNNNNNNNNNNNNNNNNNNNNNNNNNNNNNNNNNNNNNNNNNNNNUAGAUAUGACAAACAUAGAUAAUAGACUACAAAUCAAACCUUGAAACAUUAACAUUAAGGGAAAUGGAAAAAAUAAAUGACCGUUUUACCCUUAGAUUAAAAAUGAUGUGAUUUUUGGGUUUUGUAAAUUUUGGCUUGUGUGUACCUUUUAAAUGACCAUUUUACCCUUAUAUUAAGAAAUGACAAAAAUAAAUGACCAUUUUACACUUCGAUUAAAAAUUAAGUUGUAAAUUUUGGUGUUUUGUAAUUUUUGGGUUGUGUACCUUCUAAAUGACCAUUUUACCCUUAUAUUAAGAAAUUAAAGAUAUAAACAAGACUACAACUCAAACCUUGAAACAAUAACAUAAAGGGAAAUGGCAAAAAUAAAUGACCAUUUUACCCUUAUAUUAAGAAAUGACAAAAGUAGAUGGCCAUUUUACCCUUGGAUUAAAAACUUAGUUGUAAGUUAUGGGUUGUGUGUACCUUUUAAACCUUGAAACAUUAACAUAAAGAGAAGGAUCAAGUGUGAGAUCAUUUUCAAUGAAAGGAGCAUUCUCGAUCUGAAAUUUUGCAUCUAAUAAUUCUUGAUCAACUGCUGAAGACCAUCUUGGUUUCUAUAAAAACACAAAAAGACACCAUUUUUAAAAGCAACAAAUUCAUAUGAUUAUAAUUACAAGUUAAGAAAUAAAAAAUUCAAACCAUUGAACGAAAUGAAGCACGAUUAUGACCUAACAUCUCACGCAUCUCUGAAAUUGUCACUACUUCCCCCAUUGUUCCAUGAUCAUUACUUCCGUUAACUUGAGGACCUUCAUUUGCAGAUGAUGAUUUAUCAAAAUCAUGGAAAGAUUUUGAUGUAUCUAUGUCUAUUUUAGGAUCACUUUGUGUUGUAGUAUUCAAUGUUGUUGGUGAAGAUGGUGAAAUUGAUGGUGGAAGAAGAAUUGAAGGUAUACUAACAGGCUUUGUGUAAUUAGAUCCAUGAAAAUGAGUGAUGUUUUUAACAAUUUGAGGGAUUUGAGAUGAAUCUUUAGGUGGGAAGCUUUCAUUUUUGAGUUUUUGAGGACUGUUUGCAGAGAAUAAAGAUGAUAUAACAUCACCAUAUGGAAACUCUAAAUACUGGAACAUCAUGAAAACAGCAAAUACCACUGCUACAAGGUACACCAGUCUCUUGGUUUCCAUUAAAGAAUGAAGCUUUUGACCCAUUUAUGUAACACAAGGAUCCUACAACCCCUGCAAGAAUACUCAGUUAUUUUUACUGGAAAUGAAUGAUUAUUGAAAAAGCCACUUGGAAUGUUUAUUGGAGGAAUUUAAGGUGCAAAACUUCUUUAAUUAAGAAAGAUUACAAACGAUAACAUUGGAUUCUUAGUGUGCCACAAUCGAGUAACAUGUUUAAUUAGCCUAAAUUAAUGUUAAUAAAAAACUAAAAAGUAGAUUAAAGUUACUACCUUGUCCCACAUUCAGCAUAGGAUGUGAUUUGAACUUGAGCACUAAUGUGUUGUUUUUGAGGUUAGAAACAUAGAAUUGAUAUAACUUUUGAACUUUUUGAGAGAAAUUGCUAAUUACAUUAAACUUUAUCAUGUUAAAUUAUCGUAUAUAAGAUAAAAAAUUUGGAAGCAUAGCUCUUGUACAAAAACAGAGGGAAGAAAACUACAAAUUAACUUCUGUGUCAACUAAAGAAACUUCGAGCGAACUCCCUAAAUUUUGCUAGUUAAUACAUAGUAAAAAAAACUAAUUAUCAACCAAAUUUUGCUCAUUAAGUAAAGAAAGGAUCAACAAACUCCAUAAACACGAAGUAAGUGCAUAAUAAAGAAACCAAAUAAAAACCCUAGGAAAAAAAUACGAAAACUUCAAUUUAUCGAGUGAUCCACUUGAACAAUCAAUUAACAUCAAAUUCCACCACAAUAACUUCCUUCUAUCAAAAAAUUCAAACCGGAGGAAAAAAGGAAUAGAAACAUCCCUAAUUCAGUAAUUUCAUCGUUUGCUAUUUCAGUCAAAGAAAGUUAGCUACAGAUCAUAAAUUUGACACGUAUUUUCCUUUCUUCUAUUGUUCAACGAUCUUUGUUAAAAUCAAAGUAGAUCGGCUGAUAAGACUAAUUAUCUACAUUUGCUAAGAGUUACCUGAAGGAGAGCUGCUGCCAUGGACGACUGAUUUGGAAGGUUGCUCAAAGUUUUACGCCAGAAGUGUAGCAGAAGCAGAGGAGAAGAAUAUAUUAUUUUGGCUUGAUUGAGAAAUGAUUAUUCGAGCCGUUAU
rnacentral:lncRNA from 1 species